rnacentral:rRNA from 1 species
CCUACGGGAGGCAGCAGUGGGGAAUAUUGCGCAAUGGGGGAAACCCUGACGCAGCAACGCCGCGUGAGCGAAGAAGGCCUUCGGGUCGUAAAGUUCUGUGAUAAGGGAAGAAGAAGUGACAGUACCUUAAGAGGAAGCCCCGGCUAACUACGUGCCAGCAGCCGCGGUAAU